AGUGAACGCUGGCGGUAGGCCUAACACAUGCAAGUCGAACGGCAGCACAGUAAGAGCUUGCUCUUACGGGUGGCGAGUGGCGGACGGGUGAGGAAUACAUCGGAAUCUACUUUUUCGUGGGGGAUAACGUAGGGAAACUUACGCUAAUACAGCAUACGACCUACGGGUGAAAGCAGGGGAACUUCGGACCUUGCGCGAUUGAAUGAGCCGAUGUCGGAUUAGCUAGUUGGCGGGGUAAAGGCCCACCAAGGCGACGAUCCGUAGCUGGUCUGAGAGGAUGAUCAGCCACAUUGGAACUGAGACACGGUCCAGACUCCUACGGGAGGCAGCAGUGGGGAAUAUUGGACAAUGGGCGCAAGCCUGAUCCAGCCAUACCGCGUCGGUGAAGAAGGCCUUCGGGUUGUAAAGCCCUUUUGUUGGGAAAGAAAAGCAUCAGGUUAAUACCCCGCUGUUCUGACGGUACCCAAAGAAUAAGCACCGGCUAACUUCGUG
rnacentral:rRNA from 1 species